UUGACAGCAAUGGUUCUUGAGGCAAAGUUGUGCAUUAUGAGGAGAUCUAUCAAAUGAUAUGCAUAUUGUGUUGAUAUGUGAAACACCACGUGAUUACAGAGCCAUAAAACUCGUUAGCGCCAACUAGUGGCCGAUUUCUUUCAAAAUUCUUACAGACCUUAAGGUUCAUGAGUCGAACGUACCCAGUGAGUUUCGUUCCGAUCAACAUCCGUUAACCCUUUCAAAUAGGUGCUUAAAAUUGUUUGGCCAAUGGCGGCCAUGUUUUUUGAGAUAUGCAAAUGUCCUCAUAGGUACUUGUGCCCCUUCAGACCAAGACACUGCAUACCAAUUUUCAAGUCGAUCGAGUCAACGGUUGCCUAGUUAUAGCCAUUUAUGUGUUUUUUCUUUUUAUAGCGCCCCCAAGUGGCAGAGGUGUGCAAUUUUUUUUAUUUGACCACAGAUUGAGGUCAUAGAUAUGUAUACCGAGUUUGGUUAAGAUAUCUCAUUUCAUUCAUGAGUUAUAGCCUGUUGCGUAAAAUUGGUCCUCGACUUUCGAACAUUUUGGCAUCCCAUUACGACAGUGAG